GAUGAACGCUGGCGGCGUGCUUAACACAUGCAAGUCGAACGGAAAGGCCCAAGCUUGCUUGGGUACUCGAGUGGCGAACGGGUGAGUACCACGUGGGUGAUCUGCCCCGCACUUCGGGCUAAGCCUGGGAAACUGAGUGUAAUAACGGAUAGGUCAGAGGGCUGGAUGCCAUAGUGGAGAGUUUUUUCGGUGUGGGAUCGGCGCGCGGCCUAUCAGGUUGUUGGUGGGGUAAUGGUUUACCAAGGCGUCGGCGGGUAGCCGGCCCGGGAGGGUGAACGGGCACAGUGGGAUUGAGACUCAGCCCAGACCCCAACGCGUGGGAGAAGCGGGGGAGAGUGAUCAAGGGGCGUAAGGGAGACGCUGCGGCGGCGCGGGGGGGAGAGUGGAGUUGUGGUUGGGUAUUCCUUGCGCUAGGGACGAAGCGGAAUGUGACGGUACCUAGAGAAGAAGCACCGGCUAACUACGUG
rnacentral:rRNA from 1 species